ensembl:misc_RNA Metazoa_SRP Metazoan signal recognition particle RNA
GCCAGGCAUGGUGGUGCAUGCCUGUAGUUCCAGCUACUCUGGAGGCUGAGGCAGGAGGAUCACUUAAGCCCAGGAGUUUGAGACUGCAGUGAGCCGUGACUGUGCCACUGCACUCCAGUCUGGGCAACAGAAUGAGACCCUGUCUCCA